rnacentral:rRNA from 2 species
GACGGAGGAGGCUAGCGUUGUUCGGAAUUACUGGGCGUAAAGCGCGCGCAGGCGGCUUUGCAAGUCAGGGGUGAAAGCCCGGGGCUCAACCUCGGAACUGCCUUUGAGACUGCAAGGCUCGAGACCGGGAGAGGAGAGUGGAAUUCCCAGUGUAGAGGUGAAAUUCGUAGAUAUUGGGAAGAACACCAGUGGCGAAGGCGGCUCUCUGGCCCGGACCUGACGCUGAGGCGCGAAAGCGUGGGGAGCAAACAGG